AAGAUGAAAGAAAAAAAAUGUUAGUACUUCCAUAAAGAUGGAAGAAGUCUUUGUAGUACUUUAUGACCCCAAAAUGGUUAUGGCAUUGCCAUUGACUCUGUGGCAUCUUACCAUGUUUUAGC